rnacentral:rRNA from 1 species
GUUAACUGCGUGGAGCGAGCGGAGUGAAGACGGGGGGUGCUGUGGGUAAAGGGAAGUAGUGGGAGUAAAGCGUAGGAGGGCGGUCGGGCAAGGAGGAUGUGGAAGCCCCGGGCUCAGCCUGGGAACGGCAUUCGAAACCGGCAGGCUAGAGUCUGGUAGAUGGGGGUAGAAUUCCAGGAGUAGCGGGGAAAUGCGUAGAGAUGUGGAGGAAGACCGAGGGCGAAGGCGGCCCCCUGGAAUAAGACUGACGCGCAGGGACGAAAGCGUGGGGAGCAAACAGGAUUAGAUACCCGAGUAGUC